AUUCCUCAUUUGUCAGUCAAUUUGAAUAAAAGCAUCUACUAAAAUAAUACAUAUAAAUGAAAGUUAAGGGUACUGUAAUGUACAUGCACAUUCAACACAAUUAAGCAUACUUCUUUGCAGAAAAAUGAGCAAUUUACGCACCUCCCAUAGAGGUAUUAUGAGAUGGCACUGAGACCCAUCCUGGCUUGCAAAGCAC